UACGGGGGAGGCAAGCGUUGUUCGGAAUUACUGGGCGUAAAGGGCUCGUAGGUGGCCAACUAAGUCAGACGUGAAAUCCCUCGGCUUAACCGGGGAACUGCGUCUGAUACUGGAUGGCUUGAGUUUGGGAGAGGGACGCGGAAUUCCAGGUGUAGCGGUGAAAUGCGUAGAUAUCUGGAGGAACACCGGUGGCGAAGGCGGCGUCCUGGACCAACACUGACACUGAGGAGCGAAAGCCAGGGGAGCAAACGGG
rnacentral:rRNA from 1 species